ACAUGCUUACAACAUAGAGUUAAUGCACCAAAUCCCAUUAGAACUCUACAGUUAAGCGCGCUCAGGAUAGAGUAGUACUGGAUGGGUGACCACCCAGGAAGUCCUAGUGUUUUACAUGCC
rnacentral:rRNA from 1 species